rnacentral:rRNA from 1 species
AGUGAACGCUGGCGGUAGGCCUAACACAUGCAAGUCGAACGGCAGCACAGUAAGAACUUGCUCUUACGGGUGGCGAGUGGCGGACGGGUGAGGAAUACAUCGGAAUCUACUUUUUCGUGGGGGAUAACGUAGGGAAACUUACGCUAAUACCGCAUACGACCUACGGGUGAAAGCAGGGGAUCUUCGGACCUUGCGCGAUUGAAUGAGCCGAUGUCGGAUUAGCUAGUUGGCGGGGUAAAGGCCCACCAAGGCGACGAUCCGUAGCUGGUCUGAGAGGAUGAUCGGCCACACUGGACCUGAGACACGGUCCAGACUCCUACGGGAGGCAGCGGUGGGGAAUAUUGGACAAUGGGCGCAAGCCUGAUCCAGCCAUACCGCGUGGGUGAAGAAGGCCUUCGGGUUGUAAAGCCCUUUUGUUGGGAAAGAAAAGCAGCAGGUUAAUACCCCGCUGUUCUGACGGUACCCAAAGAAUAAGCACCGGCUAACUUCGUG